GACGAACGCUGGCGGCGUGCCUAAUACAUGCAAGUUGAGCGAUGAAGAUUGGUGCUUGCACCAAUUUGAAGAGCAGCGAACGGGUGAGUAACGCGUGGGGAAUCUGCCUUUGAGCGGGGGACAACAUUUGGAAACGAAUGCUAAUACCGCAUAACAACUUUAAACAUAAGUUUUAAGUUUGAAAGAUGCAAUUGCAUCACUCAAAGAUGAUCCCGCGUUGUAUUAGCUAGUUGGUGAGGUAAAGGCUCACCAAGGCGAUGAUACAUAGCCGACCUGAGAGGGUGAUCGGCCACAGUGGGACUGAGACACGGCCCAAACUCCUACGGGAGGCAGCAGGAGGGAAUCUUCGGCAAUGGACGAAAGUCUGACCGAGCAACGCCGCGUGAGGGAAGAAGGGUUUCGGAUCGUAAAACUCUGUUGGUAGAGAAGAACGUUGGUGAGAGUGGAAAGCUCAUCAAGUGACGGUAACUACCCAGAAAGGGACGGCUAACUACGUG
rnacentral:rRNA from 1 species